UAGUCAGUGGCGGUAGACGCGAAACCUGUGUGAUCUACCCAUGGGCAGGUUGAAGGUGUGGUAACACACACUGGAGGACCGAACCAAUAAGCGUUGAAAAGCUUCUGGAUGACCUGUGGGUAGGGGUGAAAGGCCAAUCAAACUGGGAGAUAGCUCGUACUCCCCGAAAUGCAUUUAGGUGCAGCCUCGGAAUGUAAGUGUUAUAGAGGUAGAGCUACCGAUUGGGCUAGGGGGCUUCACCGCCUACCAAACCCUGACGAACUCCGAAUGCUAUAACACAUGUCCGGGAGUGAGGCGCGGGGUGCUAAGGUCACGCGCCGAAAGGGAAACAACCCAGAUUAUCAGCUAAGGCCUCAAAAUCUACAUUAAGUUGUUUAAACGAUGUUUGGUUGCUAUGACAGCUAGGAUGUUUGCUUGGAAGCAGCAAUUCAUUUAAAGAGUGCGUAACAGCUCACUAGUCGAGUGACCGAGCGCGGAAAAUAAUCGGGCAUCAAAUGUAGUGCCGAAGCUAUAGGAUUACGUAAGUAAUCGGUAGGGGAGCAUUCUGACAGCACUGAAGGCGAUUCGUAAGGAUCUCUGGAGCGGUCAGAAAAGAAAAUGUAGGCAUAAGUAACGAUAAAAAAAAUGAAAAAUUUUUUCGCCGUAAGACUAAGGAUUCCUGAUCAACGCUAAUCGAAUCAGGGUUAGUCGGGUCCUAAGGUGAACCCGAGAGGGGCAACCGAUGGCAAGCCGGUUAAUAUUCCGGCACCUGCUUAUACUGCGAUGGGGUGACGAAGUAGUGAAAGUACCGCGUGGUUACGGAUUACCACGUUGAAUGGUGUAGACGUUGAUAGAGUAGGCAAAUCCGCUCUAGAGUUGAACCGGAUAGUACACAAAGUUUUCGAACGGCGUGAUAGUGUACCUAAUCAGACUUCCAAGAAAAACCUCUAAGCUUCAGGUAUGAGCAGCCCGUACCGCAAACCGACACAGGUAGUCGAGGAGAGUAUCCUCAGGCGCUCGAGUGAGUCACGGCUAAGGAACUCGGCAAAAUGGACCCGUAACUUCGGGAGAAGGGUCGCCCCAGCAAUGGGGCCGCAGUGAAAAGUAUCAGGCGACUGUUUAACAAAAACACAGGGCUCUGCAAAAUCGAAAGAUGAAGUAUAGGGCCUGACACCUGCCCGGUGCUGGAAGGUUAAGGAAGGUUGUUAGCCGCAAGGCAAAGCUUCCGACUGAAGCCCCAGUAAACGGCGGCCGUAACUAUAACGGUCCUAAGGUAGCGAAAUUCCUUGUCGGGUAAGUUCCGACCUGCACGAAUGGUGUAACGAUCUGAUAACUGUCUCAGCCGUGAGCUCGGUGAAAUUGUAGUCCCGGUGAAGAUGCCGGGUACCCGUAACGGGACGGAAAGACCCCGUGAACCUUCACUACAACUUUGCAUUGACUUUGAGUAAACGAUGUGUAGCAUAGGUGGGAGACUAUGAAGCGGGCACGCUAGUGUUCGUGGAGUCGACGUUGAAAUACCACCCUUUGUUUACUUAGAGCCUAACUCCUGAAGGGAGGAAAGUGCAUGGUGGGUAGUUUGACUGGGGUGGUCGCCUCCAAAAGAGUAACGGAGGCUUCCAAA
rnacentral:rRNA from 1 species